GACCCCCAGAGCAGCUUGAGGAAGGGCUAUGAGCAGCAUAUUCAGGCAUAUUCCAGACCUCGCAAGGCUGAGUGCAGCAUAUUCAGGCAUCUCACUGUUUUCUACUCAGGAACGAAAUGCAGGCUGGCUUAAACACAGAAACUGCAUGGUGGAAGAGCCUGAACUGAGGAAAACUGCUCACAUUCUGGUGGAACCAGGGAAGGAGACACACCCUCCCCCCAGUAAC
rnacentral:lncRNA from 1 species